UGCAGUCGAGCGGUAGAGAGAAGCUUGCUUCUCUUGAGAGCGGCGGACGGGUGAGUAAUGCCUAGGAAUCUGCCUGGUAGUGGGGGAUAACGCUCGGAAACGGACGCUAAUACCGCAUACGUCCUACGGGAGAAAGCAGGGGACCUUCGGGCCUUGCGCUAUCAGAUGAGCCUAGGUCGGAUUAGCUAGUUGGUGAGGUAAUGGCUCACCAAGGCGACGAUCCGUAACUGGUCUGAGAGGAUGAUCAGUCACACUGGAACUGAGACACGGUCCAGACUCCUACGGGAGGCAGCAGUGGGGAAUAUUGGACAAUGGGCGAAAGCCUGAUCCAGCCAUGCCGCGUGUGUGAAGAAGGUCUUCGGAUUGUAAAGCACUUUAAGUUGGGAGGAAGGGCAGUUACCUAAUACGUAUCUGUUUUGACGUUACCGACAGAAUAAGCACCGGCUAACUCUGUGCCAGCAGCCGCGGUAAUACAGAGGGUGCAAGCGUUAAUCGGAAUUACUGGGCGUAAAGCGCGCGUAGGUGGUUUGUUAAGUUGGAUGUGAAAUCCCCGGGCUCAACCUGGGAACUGCAUUCAAAACUGACAAGCUAGAGUAUGGUAGAGGGUGGUGGAAUUUCCUGUGUAGCGGUGAA
rnacentral:rRNA from 1 species